GAUGAACGCUAGCUACAGGCUUAACACAUGCAAGUCGAGGGGCAGCAUUUUAGUUUGCUUGCAAACUGAAGAUGGCGACCGGCGCACGGGUGAGUAACACGUAUCCAACCUGCCGAUAACUCCGGAAUAGCCUUUCGAAAGAAAGAUUAAUACCGGAUAGCAUACGAAUAUCGCAUGAUAUUUUUAUUAAAGAAUUUCGGUUAUCGAUGGGGAUGCGUUCCAUUAGUUUGUUGGCGGGGUAACGGCCCACCAAGACUACGAUGGAUAGGGGUUCUGAGAGGAAGGUCCCCCACAUUGGAACUGAGACACGGUCCAAACUCCUACGGGAGGCAGCAGUGAGGAAUAUUGGUCAAUGGGCGAGAGCCUGAACCAGCCAAGUAGCGUGAAGGAUGAAGGCUCUAUGGGUCGUAAACUUCUUUUAUAUGGGAAUAAAGUUUUCCACGUGUGGAAUUUUGUAUGUACCAUAUGAAUAAGGAUCGGCUAACUCCGUGCCAGCAGCCGCGGUAAUACGGAGGAUCCGAGCGUUAUCCGGAUUUAUUGGGUUUAAAGGGAGCGUAGGUGGAUUGUUAAGUCAGUUGUGAAAGUUUGCGGCUCAACCGUAAAAUUGCAGUUGAAACUGGCAGUCUUGAGUACAGUAGAGGUGGGCGGAAUUCGUGGUGUAGCGGUGAAAUGCUUAGAUAUCACGAAGAACUCCGAUUGCGAAGGCAGCUCACUAGACUGUCACUGACACUGAUGCUCGAAAGUGUGGGUAUCAAACAGGAUUAGAUACCCUGGUAGUCCACACAGUAAACGAUGAAUACUCGCUGUUUGCGAUAUACAGUAAGCGGCCAAGCGAAAGCAUUAAGUAUUCCACCUGGGGAGUACGCCGGCAACGGUGAAACUCAAAGGAAUUGACGGGGGCCCGCACAAGCGGAGGAACAUGUGGUUUAAUUCGAUGAUACGCGAGGAACCUUACCCGGGCUUAAAUUGCAACAGAAUAUAUUGGAAACAGUAUAGCCGUAAGGCUGUUGUGAAGGUGCUGCAUGGUUGUCGUCAGCUCGUGCCGUGAGGUGUCGGCUUAAGUGCCAUAACGAGCGCAACCCUUAUCUUUAGUUACUAACAGGUCAUGCUGAGGACUCUAGAGAGACUGCCGUCGUAAGAUGUGAGGAAGGUGGGGAUGACGUCAAAUCAGCACGGCCCUUACGUCCGGGGCUACACACGUGUUACAAUGGGGGGUACAGAAGGCGGCUACCUGGUGACAGGAUGCUAAUCCCAAAAACCUCUCUCAGUUCGGAUCGAAGUCUGCAACCCGACUUCGUGAAGCUGGAUUCGCUAGUAAUCGCGCAUCAGCCAUGGCGCGGUGAAUACGUUCCCGGGCCU
rnacentral:rRNA from 1 species